CCUACGGGGGGCUGCAGUGGGGAAUAUUGGACAAUGGGGGCAACCCUGAUCCUGCCAUGCCGCGUGUGUGAAGAAGGCCCUCGGGUUGUAAAGCACUUUCAGUGAGGAAGAACGCCUGGUGGUUAAUACCCAUCAGGAAAGACAUCACUCACAGAAGAAGCACCGGCUAACUCCGUGCCAGCAGCCGCGGUAAUACGGAGGGUGCGAGCGUUAAUCGGAAUUACUGGGCGUAAAGCGCGCGUAGGUGGCUUGAUAAGCCGGUUGUGAAAGCCCCGGGCUCAACCUGGGAACGGCAUCCGGAACUGUCAAGCUAGAGUGCAGGAGAGGAAGGUAGAAUUCCCGGUGUAGCGGUGAAAUGCGUAGAGAUCGGGAGGAAUACCAGUGGCGAAGGCGGCCUUCUGGACUGACACUGACACUGAGGUGCGAAAGCGUGGGUAGCAAACAGGAUUAGAUACCCCAGUAGUC
rnacentral:rRNA from 1 species